rnacentral:lncRNA from 1 species
AUAUGCACAUGUAUAUCAGCAGGCAGAGUGAGCUUCCCCAACUUAACUUCUCUGUCAACUUUUCUUGUAAGUCCAACUACAGGAGGAUAUAAUCUCAGUGUUUCAUUGAUGAUCAUUCCCAUCUGCAUGCAAAAAUUCAAUUAGAUUAACCUAAUUACAUACGUGUGAUUAACACUUUGAAAUUAGAUUUUCAACUUACUAUCUUCAGUUUUGCAAUUCCAUCUGCAUUUGGAGUUUGUUUACCCAAAAUCUUGAAAACCUCAUUUCUUGCUUUUUCUUGCCAAUCUGAAUGGAUUGCUAGAAGUAGAACAGCCCAUGAGAGCAACACAUUAGUAGUUUCUUGUCCAGCGAAAUAGAGAGUCUUGCACUCAUCAAUCACAUCUUUUAACGAAAUCCUCUUGGAUUGAUCAUUCUCAUGAUUAGCCCUUAGUAGAAUUCCCAGAAAAUCAUCUCCAUAGUUCUCUACUUCUCCACCCAUCAUUUCAUCUUCUCUCUUUUUAAUUAUAUCUAAAAUGGAGUUCUCUAAUUCUCUUUCAAGCUUCUCUGCUUCAAUUUCAUCUCUACUUUUCCAAAUUUUACUGCAAGAAAUGGGUACAAAAAUUUUGCAUUACUGUCUCUGCAAAUGAGCAGGAUUGCAAGAUUUAGUUGGAAUGAAUUUUACCUGAUGCCAUGCUUGAAGCUAUUUCUUGUUAUUAACAUGGUUAACUUUGUGAACAUAUCAAAAAUCUUCUUUCCUUGAAGAUAACUACUUCCAAAAGCUGUCCUAGAAAUCACUUCACAUGUCAGUAAUCUAAACUCUUCAACUACCUCAAUCUCUUUGCCUUGAUGAUUUUUCCACCUCUCCAGCAUCAUCACUGUGCUGGCAAUCAUGUCAGGAAUCAUAUUCUGCGAAAUUACAAAACUAAAUAAAUAACCCAUAUUCAUUUAAUUUUAAUUGCGUGCAAACAGUUUGAAUUUUUGGAUAAUAGGAUGUUAAUUACCUUUAAGUUCUCUGUGUGAAAAGCAUAGUUGGCCAAUUUUCUCAUCUUAGACCAUUUUUCACCAUCAGAUGUAAAGAUCCCAUCUCCUAAUAGCUUUUUAAUGUAAAAUUGGAAAUCUCCUUUUGUAUAGAUCUUAUCUCUGUUAGUCAGAAUCUCCCUGAUCAGCUCUGCCUCUGAAAUUAGCAACUGAGCUCGAGGACCCAUCCAGUACAGAAAACUAUUCCCUAUGAAGGAACAAGGUCAAACAACAGCAACAAGAAAACCCAGUAAAUUAAUUCCAUACUGCAACUGUAAAAAUUAAAACAAAACAAAAAAAAAAAAGGGAUGAGCAGUUGAGUACCGUAAGUGUUGGUCCAUGAGUGAAAAUAUGGCUGGAUUCUGGAAAACAUAUCGUGAGAGAGAUCCUUCAUGGAAGUACUCAUAGAUUGAUUUCUCAUUUUGAUAAUUUCCUUGGUGCUUCCGUAGAUGAAUCUGCAGGAAGGGCCUCUGAUUCCCUGUGAAGUCAUGAGACGUUGAAUGCGCAUGGGUGUCACCCAUACUCUGUCAAGGAACUUGAAGAGAUUUGAGAGAAGGUAGAAGCAAAGGGAGCUUGAGAAUAUGAUUACAAGAAUUGAUGAAGCAACAGCCAUUGUUGAAUUUGGCUCAAAGUUCUUAAGAUUUAUCUUUAAAAAACAUUGAGACUUGUCUUUUCUAUUAUUUUUACAUUUAUCUUAUUUAAUUAUCUUAUUUUUCAAUUAUUAUCAUUGAAGCAUAAAUCAAAUACACAUAUAUACUCCAUGUCCAAAGUCUGCAGAUAUAACAUUUACAUAAAAACAAUUGGAAAUACUUGGAUGAAAAAGACUGAAAGUUUAGGGUCAAAAGUGAAAGAAGUUGAGUUUGAGAGGCAAAAUGGUCAUUUUCUUAUAUGAUUUGAGGGCAUUUUAGGGAUGUCAAUAAAUCUUGGAGACAGAUGGGCCUGGGUUCUUUGGUUGUAAUUGGAUUUCGGUAGACCUAUUUCUACAAUCUCUUGUAACUUUGGACUUCUAUUUUUUAGUUAGACGCUAAGCCCUUGCAAUUAUUAAUAUAACUCUUUUAUUUCCGAUGAGAAAAAUAAAAUAAAAUAAAAUAAAAUUGCCAUUUUUAUUAUUCUUAAAAAGGCAAUUAUUUAGUGAAUUUGACUAUAGAUUACGUUGCGUGGAAUUUUCAUAAUUUUCUUCUUUGCUCAUAACAUGAUUAGGUUUUUCCACAUAGUUGUUGUGUUUUUUGAAAAUGGCAUUGCCCUUUAUUAUUGUCAUUUUCUCUUUGAGUCCAUUAGGCUUCUGCAGUGAAAGCAUUUCAUUGGAAAUCUAAGCGUCAUGGAAGACUCUUCCCCUCCUCGCACGCCUGCCCAAAGUCCAAAGUGAUUUUUAAGUUCCACUUAACGUCGAUUGGCGAAUGCAGUCUAUAAAUAACCAGUUUCUAUCAUAAACAGUCUAUCAUCACUAACUUAAACAAGUUAGACAUACAACAAAAACUGGGGGAGAAUGGGUAGCUGUGAGAGCUCACAACGCUCUAAUAGUCGGAAGAAUGGGACUUCUGGCAACAGAUCCGAAGACGUCGACACUGAAACUGCUGAUGUAUCCUUGGAAACUAUUGGUGCAGUAGCUGUAGUUGUUGUAGCCUGUUCUGUGGUUGCUUUGUUUUCAAGCUUACGAGGUUCUAAUACUGAUGAAAGGAAGACUAUGAAAGCUCCAGGAAGGAAUUAUCGCAUUUUCAGAGACGACUUUGAGGAUGAUCCUGCUGGUUAUUUUAGAAGCCUGCGCAAAUAAAAAAUAUGUUGUCUUAAAUUAUUAAACAGCUGAUAUUUCUGUUUGAACUAGUAAUGGAAAAUGAAACUUUUAUUUUUGAAAUUAGCAGCAAAUCUCAUUGCACAGUCUCUUUCUUUUUUGCGUAAAACUAUUCGAUGUC